rnacentral:lncRNA from 1 species
UUCGGUUUGCUUUUCUCAAAUUCCCCCCAGCUUUUGCUCGUAUUCCCAUCGCAUCCUUAUCCCACCAUCCUAAACGGAAUUCUUCUCCCAACUCUUUUUAUUCCCACAGCCCCUUUCUUUUCUUUCCCCUACCUCUAAAGAGCACACACUGAGAGCAGUAGUCAGUCUCUCAGUGCUCCUCUACUCCUCUCCAUUCUUCCUUCUCUCUCUCUCUCUCUCUCUCUCUCUCUCUCUCUCUA